UACGUAGGGGGCUAGCGUUGUCCGGAAUCAUUGGGCGUAAAGAGCGCGUAGGCGGUCCGAUAAGUCGGCUGUGAAAGUCAGGGGCUCAACCCUUGAAAGCCGGCCGAUACUGUCGGACUAGAGUCCGGAAGAGGCGAGUGGAAUUCCCGGUGUAGCGGUGAAAUGCGCAGAUAUCGGGAGGAACACCCGUGGCGAAGGCGGCUCUCUGGGACGGUACUGACGCUGAGACGCGAAAGCGUGGGGAGCGAACAGG
rnacentral:rRNA from 1 species